rnacentral:rRNA from 1 species
CCCUGGUAGUCCACGCCGUAAACGAUGUGCACUAGACUGGUGCGGUUUUGACGCCGUGUCGGUCGUAGAGAAAUUGUUAAGUGCACCGCCUGGGGAGUACGGUCGCAAGGCUAAAACUCAAAGGAAUUGACGGGGGCUCACACAAGCGGUGGAGCAUGUUGCUUAAUUCGAAGCAACGCGAAGAACCUUACCUGGGUUUGACAUGCACGGAUUAGCUCUUGGAAACAUGAGUAACGCCCUCGGGUGGAACGUGCACAGGUGCUGCAUGGCUGUCGUCAGCUCGUGCUGUGAAGUGUCGGGUUAAGUCCCUUAACGAGCGCAACCCUUAUCGCUAGUUGCCAGCGCGUAAUGGCGGGGACUCUAGCGAGACUGCCGGUGUCAAACCGGAGGAAGGUGGGGAUGACGUCAAGUCCUCAUGGCCUUUAUGCCCAGGGCGGCAAACGUGCUACAAUGGCGCGUACAGAGCGAUGCGAUGCCGCGAGGCGGAGCAAAUCGCAAAAAGCGCGCCCCAGUUCAGGAUUGCAGUCUGCAACUCGACUGCAUGAAGCCGGAAUCGCUAGUAAUCGCGGAUCAGCCACGCCGCGGUGAAUACGUUCCUGAGCCU